UUUUUUAAUUCAUGCUUAGAUUAAUUCAUGGGUCAUCCCCUACUUUAUUAGGGAAAUUCCUUUAAAAGGUAGAGAAUAAGAAUCGAUUACUAAAAGGAUUCUAGAUUAGUUCAGUAUAGGUAGUCAUUUGAUUGAUCUAAGAUGAAAAAGAGUCAAAUUUCAUUUAUUUUUUGCAAUUUAGAUUCCGUGCUUCAUUUAGUGUUCAGACCAAAAAUGCAUGCAUCUCGCACUAAGUCAUAAAAUUCAAUAAAAAAUAGAGAAAGUUUCAAAAACAAAGUAAAAAGUAAAUGAAUUUAGUAGAAAAGUAUUCUAUCAGAUUCGAACCGAUGACUUAUGCCUUACCAUGCCAUUACUCUACCACUAACUUUAAAAGCCCUUUAUCGGAUUUGAACCGAUGACUUACGCCUUACCAUGGCAUUACUCUACCACUGAGUUAAAAGGGCUUUUUUUUUAAUUCAAAAAUGAGCCACUUUCAUUUCCCAUUCUGGGUCUACUGCAUAAUGUACAUAAGAUAUGUAGAUAUCCAUAUAUCUAUAUAAGUUUAUUCAUCGUGAGGUUCAAAAUAUUGAUAAAAUCAAUAAAAAUAAGAAAAUAUUUGCUAUUAUCUCUUAUAACUUGCAUAAAACAAAGUAGAGAUCCUUUUUUAUAUAAUAAAAUGCGUGAAGAGAAAGUUGACACAAUAAAAAAUAAUAAACCAUACCCUAUACAUACCUAACUCUUCUUAAUUCAGGGUUUUUCGUUUCCGAAGACUAGGAAAAUAGGCGGAUUCUGGAACCCUAAGGAUUCGAUGGUAUAUGGCUAUGGAAAAUAUAAGAUUUUUGAUCCUAGCGGGAAAAGGAACGGAACAGAUACCCAAUAUGAUUCUUGGGAGGAACAUUUCGUAAUGGUCUUGAUCCUCUAUGCUCUUUUUUAUGUGUUGCUAGUUCGAUUGCACUUUUUUGAUUCUUUUAAACAAAACAAGAAUCUACUAAACCAGAAUUGAAAUUGAGUGAGUGGAAAAAAGGGGUUUAUAGGGACAGUUCAGAUGCUAUUGGCAUGGUAAGAAGAGGUGUAUUUUACAGACCAUAGGGGUUAUCGAAAUCCUAAAGUAAAGGCCUGCAAUCGAAGUAGAAGUACCAACGGCUCACUGCCAUGAACCUUCUCCAUUUGAUUCACUAAGGGGAAAUUCACCUGCUUCUCGAAUGGGUAUCAUUGACAAAGGGUUGCGUUUGUAUCAUAAUCUACAUGUAGCGGGUAUAGUUUAGUGGUAAAAGUGUGAUUCGUUCUAUUAAUAACUGAAUUAAAAUGAUAUACUUAAGGCAUCCUUAAGUUUUUUUCUAUUCCGAUGAAAACUUUAGUUCUUAUAAAGGAUUUCAUCCUUUUCCUCUCAAUAGCGUAUUGAGGAACAAUAUACAUUCUCGUGAUUUGUAUAAUUGAAAUUGCAUCCAAAAUACAAAUAGGAUUAUGAGUACAGAGUCGCGAAGCAUAAUUUUACAUUGGAUUAAGUAUUCCAUAUAUUAAAAAUAUGAGUAAAGGAUCUAUGGAUGGAGAUACAAAAAAGUUUUUUCCAAUCGUAACUAAAUCACCUUUACCUUCAAAACGGGAAAAGGAAGCCAAAUAGCUAAAAGCGGUAGUUUUGGUUUACUAGAACCAUCAGCAUAUUGUUUAAGCUCGGUGGAAACCCAAUUCUUUUCCUCAAGGAUCCCUUGAAUGAAAUUAGGGAACGAAGUAAGUAGAUUAGAUGGAUUUAGAUCGAAUUUCUAUCUCCUUACUCUAUAAGGAUCAUCUAGAAAGCGGAGAGCUUUGGUUCUAUUCAAAUAGAAAAGCUGACAUAGAUGUUAAGUGGUGAGAAUAUCCAUAAAGGAGCCGAAUGAAAUGAAAAUUUCAUGUUCGGUUUUGAAUUAGAGACGUUAUAAAUAAUCAACCAACGUCGACUAUAACCCCUAGCCUUCCAAGCUAACGAUGCGGGUUCGAUUCCCGCUACCCGCUCCAUUCUGUAUAUGUAUAAAAGGAGUAUUCCAUUUGUCUAGACCUGUAUAAAAGGAGUAUUCUAUUUGUCUAGACAUAGUUGAGGCCCGUAUUUAACCUUUUCCGUUCACCAUUUUCUGCUACUGCAGAGCGGAGUAGAGCAGUUUGGUAGCUCACGAGGCUCAUAACCUUGAGGUCACGGGUUCGAUUCCCGUCUCCGCACUUAGCAGUCUCUAUAAAAGGACUAUUCCAUUUCUAUAUAUAUGGUACAGGGUUGGGUGGUAUCCAAUCCAAUUUUUUUAUUCAUUACUUCCUGGCCUUAGAGGGCAAAAUUGAGCAGUCUGCGAAGCCGCCUGCCUCCAUAAGAAGAACAGGCAAGGUUUCUCCCUACCCUGCAGAAAAGAAAAAUGAAAGAAACGCACAGUCUACCUCCCUUCCCUUUAAAAGCAGUUUGCCAGUUCUUUGUCUCAGUGAAUACCCCCCUGUUGGCGAGUUCUAUUUCCCUCUCCGGAGCCCUCCUUUUUUUGAGUGGGGUGAAAAGUAAGGGUAAUAAGGGAUAGGGUACUAGACUAACACCUAAUUAAUAUAUAAUUUAUUCUAAGUAGUUAAACAUUCAACUAGACUAAAUUUUUUCUCAUAGUACUUGACUAAAGUAAGCGGGCAAGCGGCGGGAAUCGAACCCGUAUCUUCUCCUUGGCAAGGAGAUGUUUUACCAUUGAACUACGCUCGCUACGGAAUAUAUUUUAUAGCGUAUAUCCGCUUGUGUCGACCGUCUAUGUCUGGGUCGACCGUUUCAUUUUCUAUUAUAUUAGAGUUUUCCUUUUUUUGAUUGUCUGUCAAUCAAUAUUCUAAUGGCAAUGCAAUUUCAUAAUACUGAAAGAGAAGAGGUAGCAAUUCGGAACGCAAAUUGCGUUUUAAUGUGUCUCACUAUUUGAAUUUUUUCGAAGAAAUGUCCUUUUUAUUUAUUUUGUAUCGGGUUACUCAAUACUAAACAAAUUUAUGAAAUGAGAGAAUUCAGAAUAGCUACGAGAAAGACUAGACCAAUCCAUAAUGAUGUAUCGGAAAAAACAACGUUUUUAUUAUUUGACCAACCAUCAGGAGAAGCAAAUACAAGGGGUACACUAAUUACUAAGACUGAGGAAGUCGCAAUUAAUGCAAAAACAGCUAAUUGGAAAGCAAUAGUCAUAUUUCUAAUCCUCAAGCUAUCAUCAAAUAAAGUUGACUACAUAUUUGAUCCCUCACUUAACCUAAAUUGUAAAAAAUACAAGAAGUAGAAGGGGUUUAAUCAUGAAUCCAUUGAUUCUUCUCUUUAAUUAAUAAUUAAAACUUAUUACUUACCGCUUUUAUUUGGAUAUGGGGAUUAGGGUAGGGGAUUUAGUCUUUAUUUCAAAAGCGGGUAUAGCGGAUCUUCUAUCCGUGUAUACAGUAUACAGAAAUAUAUCGAAAAAGGAUUUGCAUCUGAGAUGUUUCUAGAGGUUAGUAGAUCCUUUUAUUUUUAUAUGGCUGUGUUCUAUUUCUAGGAUUAAAGAAAAAGGGAGUAAUCGAAGAAUUAGAGAAAGAUCUACAAAAAGAAAUUAACUCUGUAAACCAGAGAAUUAAUAUUUCUAUCGAAAAAGUUAAAGAGCCUUAUAGACAACCUAACAUUCUUGCAGAAUAUAUAGCUUUUCAAUUAAAAAAUCGAGUUUCAUUCCGAAAGGCAAUAAAAAAAGCCAUUGAAUUAACUAAAAAAGCAGAUAUAAGGGGAGUCAAAGUAAAAAUAGCGGGUCGUCUCGGAGGAAAAGAAAUUGCACGUGCGGAAUGCAUCAUAAAGGGUAGACUUCCUCUCCAAACAAUUCGCGCUAAAAUUGAUUAUUGUUGCUAUCCAAUUCGAACUAUCUAUGGAGUAUUAGGUGUAAAAAUUUGGAUAUUCGUAGAUGAAGAAUAACUAAUCUUGUCUUCGCAUUCUGUGCAGUGAUAGAAUAAAAAAUGACAAGAGCCUGUUUUCCUGAAAUCCCUAAAAGAAAGAAGAAAUUAUACCUCUUUCUAUAAGAUUUAAUGAAAAUUGAUAAAUCAUUUAAUAUAAUUGCUAUGCUUAGUGUGUGACUCGUUAUUUUUUCUUUAAAAAAAUAAAAAAAUUUAGUAAUUAUAGAAAAUUAACUAAUAACCAACCUAUUGCUUCGUAUUGUCGAGAUCCUAACUAAGAAGCAGUCACUAUCUGAAUAAAUAUCUCUAUCAUAAAUGAGUAGAUCUAUCAUAUAGUUGUAGCAACUGCAAUUUUUUCUCUAAAAAAGAAACGAGAUUCUAGGUUCUGAAGCAAAACUAAAGGGAUGUAGAUAAAGGGAAAGAUGAUAGAAAGAAGAAUAAGUAAGAUAUAGGAUUCCAAUAUGUAUGGUCUAUGAAUUGCAUCAAAAAAGGCAAUGUGAUAAAGCAUCAAUAUAAUAUAAUAAAAAUAACAGAGAAUUAGAAAUCGUAACUUGAAACAAGAACUACAAAUUUAAAGCAAUAAUUAAAGAGCCACCCGGGUUAAUAAAACUGAGAAAAUUAACUCGAAAAGACAUUUUUUUGAAGCUCCGUUGCGGGAUUCAGACCUAACCAUUCAAGGAGAAGCAGUGGGAACGACACAACCUAUGACUCCAUAGGAUUUUAUUGCAAAGAAUCCAAAAACCUCAUUGGACGGGAUGGCGGAACAAACCCCAAAAAUUGUCUUAUUUGGUAAGGUUAUAAAUUACCAAAUAAGACAGGAAUAGAGUAAAUAUUCGCCUGCGAAAUCCUUAUUGAAUUAGAAUACUUUACCGCAAUUCAAUAAUUCAAUAAAUUCAAUAAAAGUAAAAAGAAAGAUAUUUUUUUAAGAAGGAUUACGUUAAAAAUAGAAUAUAGAUAAAUAGACACACACAUCUAGAUAUAUUCUAGAUCUUCUUUCUUGACUAUAUAUUUUUCUAUUUGAACAAAAUUAACUAUGAAAAAUAAAAAAAAACUAACUUUUUCUAUUACCUAUUAAUGUGUAUCUAUCCAUAAUAUUUUUGAAUAUUAUGGAAUUAGAGCAAUUUGCACGCUUUCUCAUUUAAUUCGCGAGGAGCUGGAUGAGAAGAAACUCUCAUGUCCAGUUUUGCAGUAGAGAUGGAACUACGAAAGAACCAUCGACUAUAACCCCAAAAGAACCAAAUUUCGCAAACAACAUAGAGGAAGAAUGAAAGGAAAAUCCUGCCGAGGCAAUCGUAUUUGUUUUGGUAGAUAUGCUCUUCAAGCACUUGAACCCACUUGGAUCACGGCGAGACAGAUAGAAGCGGGACGAAGAGCAAUAACACGAUAUGCACGUCGUGGUGGAAAAAUAUGGGUACGUAUAUUUCCCGACAAACCAGUUACACUAAGACCCACAGAAACACGUAUGGGCUCGGGAAAGGGGUCCCCCGAAUAUUGGGUAGCUGUUGUUAAACCAGGUCGUAUACUUUAUGAAAUGGGUGGAGUAUCCGAAACUGUAGCUAGAGCAGCUAUCUCCAUAGCUGCCAGUAAAAUGCCCAUACGAAGUCAAUUUAUUCGAUUAGAGAUAUAGAACCCCCAAAACGGGUUUUUCUUUCUGGAAAGACAAUAUUUCUUUCAUCCUUUUGCAUCGAAAUAAAAAAUUGAAAUCCAAAUAAUAUGAUUCAACCUCAGACCCUUUUAAAUGUAGCAGAUAAUAGUGGAGCUCGAAAAUUGAUGUGUAUUCGAGUCAUAGGAACUGCUGGUAAUCAGCGAUAUGCUCGUAUUGGUGAUGUUAUUGUUGCUGUAAUCAAAGACGCAGUGCCCCAAAUGCCUCUAGAAAGAUCCGAAGUAAUUCGAGCUGUAAUUGUACGUACAUGUAAAGAGUUCAAAUGUGAAGACGGUAUAAUAAUCCGCUAUGAUGACAAUGCAGCGGUUAUAAUUGAUCAAAAAGGAAAUCCAAAAGGAACUCGAGUUUUUGGGGCGAUCACCGAGGAAUUGAGAGAAUUGAAUUUUACCAAAAUAGUUUCAUUAGCUCCUGAAGUAUUAUAAAUACUAGUAGGCGAAAUUUAGAUCAAAGAGUGAAUUAGUAGAUUGUGUUUCAUGUAUAUGUUUUAAAAUCUAAAAUGAAAAGAAAAAAAGAAAACAUGUUGAUUAUAGAAAAAUUGGGAGGAACCUAGAAUUAGAAUCUUAUGGGCAAAGACACUAUUGCUGAUUUACUAACCUCUAUAAGAAACGCGGACAUGAAUAAAAAAGCAACAGUUCGAGUAGUAUCUACAAAUAUUACUGAAAACAUUGUAAAAAUACUUCUACGAGAGGGUUUUAUUGAAAGUGUUCGGAAACAUCAGGAACGUAACAGAUAUUUCUUGGUUUUAACUUUGCGACAUCAAAAGAGAAAGACUAGAAAAGGAAUAUAUAGAACAAGAACUUUUUUAAAGCGUAUCAGCCGACCCGGCUUACGAAUUUAUACCAACUAUCAAGGAAUUCCUAAAGUUUUGGGUGGAAUGGGAAUUGCUAUUCUUUCUACUUCUCGAGGGAUAAUGACAGAUCGAGAGGCUCGACUAAACAGAAUUGGGGGAGAAGUCUUAUGUUAUAUAUGGUAAUCGCCUUGCCUAUAGUGCCCGAAUUCUCUCUCGAACUUCCUAUUAUUCAAACAAAAAGAAAAAAUAGCAGAAAAAAAAAUGACAGAAAAAAAAUAGGUGAGAAAAGAAAAACCCGAGAGAAGCAAAAGUAACUUUCGAAAGUUUAGUUACGGAAGCCCUACCCAAUGGAAUGUUCCGCGUUCGUCUAGAGAAUGACACCAUCAUCCUGGGCUAUAUUUCAGGAAAGAUUCGGUCUAGUUCUAUACGAAUACUGAUGGGGGAUAGGGUCAAAAUUGAAGUAAGUCGUUAUGAUUCAAGCAAGGGACGUAUCAUUUAUAGACUUCCCCAUAAGGAUUCGAAGCGUAUCGAAGACUCGAAGGAUAGCGAAGAUUUGAAGGAUAGCGAAGAUUUGAAGGAUUAGGUUUUUCUUUUUUCUAGAAUAAUAAAUGCAAAGUUCAAAAAUUACAGCGAAGAGACUUAUUUUUUCCAAAAGAUUAGAUUCAUGGUUUAAGAAAGGAUACGGAAAUAUGAAAAUAAGAGCUUCCGUUCGUAAAAUUUGUACAAAAUGUCGACUGAUUCGUAGGCGUGGCCGAAUUAGAGUCAUUUGCUCCAACCCGAAACAUAAACAAAGACAAGGAUAAUCUUUCGAAAAAGCACUUUACUUUCUAAAAAGUAAAAAAAAAGAAUACCUACGGGAAUGUUUAAAUUAAAAAUAAAAUAAUUUGAAAUAAUUAAAGUAAAGGGUAUAUUUUACCCUGAAACGGAUAUCUUUGUAUCUUUUAUUUAUUUAUUUUUACUCAUAUUUAUGAGAUUUAUGAGAUAAUAAAAUAUGGCAAAAGCUGUACCAAAAAUAGGUUCACGUAAGAGAGUGCGUAUUGGUUUACGUAGGAAUGCACGUUUUAGUUUACGGAAGAGUGCACGUAGAAUAACAAAAGGGGUUAUUCAUGUUCAAGCUAGUUUCAACAAUACCAUUAUAACUGUUACAGACCCACAAGGUCGAGUGGUUUUUUGGUCCUCUGCGGGUACUUGUGGAUUCAAAAGCUCAAGAAAAGCAUCACCCUAUGCUGGUCAAAGAACAGCAGUCGAUGCUAUUCAUACAGUAGGUUUACAACGAGCAGAAGUUAUGGUAAAGGGCGCUGGUAGUGGAAGAGAUGCCGCAUUACGAGCCAUUGCUAGAAGUGGUGUGCGCUUAAGUUGUAUACGCGAUGUAACACCUAUGCCGCAUAAUGGAUGUCGACCGCCUAAAAAAGGCGUCUGUAAAAGAAUUAACCCGCUUUCAAGAGAAAUAAACGAUUCAAUGAUCAAAUAAUAAUACUAGUCUAUUAUGGUUCGAGAGGAGGUAGCAGGAUCCACUCAAACAUUACAGUGGAAGUGUGUUGAAGAGUAGAUAGUAAGCGUCUUUAUUAUGGUCGUUUCAUUCUGUCCCCGCUUAUAAAAGGUCAAGCGGAUACCGUCGGUAUUGCCUUGCGAAGAGCUUUACUUGGAGAAAUAGAAGGAACAUGUAUCACACGUGCAAAAUUUGGAAGCGUGCCACACGAAUAUUCUACAAUAGCGGGUAUUGAAGAAUCCGUACAAGAAAUUUUAGUAAAUUUGAAAGAAAUUGUAUUGAGAAGUAAUCUCUAUGGAGUUAGAGACGCAUCCAUUUGCGUCAAAGGUCCCAAAUGCAUAACUGCUCAAGAUAUCAUCUUACCACCUUCCAUAGAAGUCAUUGAUACGGCACAGCCUAUAGCUAACUUGACCGAGCCCAUUGAUUUCUGUAUUCAGUUACAGAUCAAGAGAGAUCGUGGAUAUCAGACGGAACUUAGAAAGAACUAUCAAGAUGGAAGUUAUCCUAUAGAUGUUGUAUCCAUGCCUGUUCGAAAUGUGAAUUAUAGUAUUUUUUCUUGUGGGAAUGGAAAUGAAAAACACGAGAUACUUUUUCUCGAAAUAUGGACUAAUGGAAGUUUAACCCCUAAGGAAGCGCUUUAUGAGGCUUCUCGUAAUUUGAUUGAUUUAUCAUAAUAAAAUGGAUUUUAGGUAUCUAGGGAAAAUUCACUUCGAAGUAACUAUUUCCUAGAUACCUAUGCACGGUACCUCACGGUUGAAUGAAUCAACCUGAAAAAUACCUAAAAAAGGCCUAAAGUUAAGGAUUUAUCAAUGGGUAAUGUUGCUCCAAUACCUAACCAAAGAGCUACUGCAGUACCGAUUAAAAAAACGGUCGUAGCUACCGGGCGACGAAAUGGAUUUUGGAAUUUGUUGACAUUUUCUAGAAAAGGUACUGUCAAUAAGCCUGUUGGCACAGAAACCAUUAAGAGAACGCCCAAUAACUUAUUGGGUACCAUACGGAGUAUUUGAAACACGGGAAAGAAGUACCACUCGGGUAAUAUUUCCAAAGGAGUUGCAAACGGAUCCGCGGGUUCACCAAUCAUUGAUGGCUCGAGAACAGCUAAACCUACAUUACAUGCAAUAGUACCUAGAAUUACUACUGGAAAAAUAUAUAAAAGAUCGUUGGGCCACGCGGGUUCGCCGUAAUAAUUAUGUCCCAUCCCUUUAGCUAAUUUUGCUCUUAAUACAGGAUCAUUUAAGUCUGGUUUCUUUGUUAUUGGGAUAGGUGAACUCUUUAGGAUCCAUCCCCCAAAGGAACCGGACAUGAGAAUUUAUCAUCAUCCGGCUCGAGCAAUAAAGAAAGAAAUAAGACCGCGGAAGAUCCAUAAUAAUAAUAGAAUAAGGUAUAUAAUUACUCAAUGACUCUAGGCAAGAAAAGCUUUAUCAGAUUAUCUUUUCCGAAGUUGCACCUACAACUACUCAUUGAAAAUAAUCCUAUUCUUAUGGGUAAAUGCUCAAUAUCCAAGUGGGCUUACAAAUUUGAUCAUGAUCAAUUGCUUUGUGGAUUGUCUCAUGUCUCUUGAUUAGUUGGUCUUUAUCCCCUCACUAUCGCAAGUUUCUUACGCCCAAACAAAGUAUUUACUUGUUACUAAUAAAAAAAUCAAAAAGUUUAGCCUAUGCUCUUCCUUAGAUCCCUUCUUUUACUCCGAUAGUAUUGCGAAUCGCAAUCGAUGCAAAGAAAAUGAAUGCAUUUCCAUACCAUAAUAAAAAAAGGUAAGUGUAAUAAAUAGAGAAUUGGAUCAUGUCACAUGACUUAUUCCAUUUCUACUCUAUGGGACCUUACGGAGCCUUUUCAUGGAUGACAUGGUUGGGGUAUGAUCAUAGAAAAUAUUCUCCUCAAGUGAACCAGCCUAUCCUUCCUAGGUAGGGGACUUACGUGUUGAUUGGAUGCGGAGACACCUUUGGUUGUGAAUUCUAAUGUGGCAGAUCCAAUUCUUUAUCUGCAUGGCCAAAUCUAUAAUUCAAGUCACACACUCCCAUAAUCCGCCUUUUUUUCUUUUGUAAAAUUAACUUCAACUAUUUGUAUUACAUCAAAAUACUUCGGAGUUGAAGAGAAGUAUCCAAAUGACAUGUGUUAUUUUACAAUAACCCAUGUUUGUAGCAAUGAAAUACCACAACCUACCCAAUAUUAUAUAUGAGAAUUCUAAUUCUCUAUGAUAUGCCUUCCCUAUAAAGGACCCGAAAUACCUUGCUUACGUAUCAUUGGAAAGUGCAUUAACAUAAAUACGGCAGUAAGCAGAGGAAGUACAAAGGUAUGUAAACUAUAAAAACGAGUCAAAGUGGAUUGGCCCACACUAGCACUUCCACAUAAUAACUCCACUAGAGGCGAUCCUAUUACCGGAAUCGCAUCAGGUACACCUGUCACAAUUUUGACUGCCCAAUAACCAAUUUGAUCCCAAGGCAAAGAAUAACCCGUUACACCAAACGAUGCAGUCAAAACAGCCAAAACCACACCUGUGACCCAAGUUAAUUCGCGGGGUUUUUUAAAUCCACCUGUGAGAUACACACGAAAUACAUGUAGGAUCAUCAUUAGAACCAUCAUACUUGCUGACCAUCGAUGAACUGAUCGGAUUAACCAACCAAAGUUGGCCUCGGUCAUUAUGUAUUGAACCGAGGAAAAAGCCUCUGUAACAGUUGGGCGAUAGUAAAAAGUCAUAGCAAAUCCGACGCUGUAACAUAGUUGAGGUUGAAUCUAAAGGAUCUACUGCUGGAUAAAUACCCUUGGAAGCUAAUCCUUUGGAAAGUACGGUAGUAGCAUCCAAAUGGGCAAAUGUUGUGGCAGGAGCAGGGUCAGUCAAAUCGUCCGCAGGUACAUAAACCGCUUGGAUCGAAGUUAUAGAUCCCUUUUUAGUAGAAGCAAUUAUUUCUUGCAAAGAACCCAUUUCUGUACUAAGAGUAGGUUGAUAACCCACCGCGGAGGGCAUUCUCCCUAAUAAAGUGGAUACCUCCGAUCCUGCUUGAACAAAACGAAAGAUAUUAUCGAUGAAUAAAAGCACGUCUUGCUUAUUAACAUCUCGGAAAUAUUCCGCCAUAGUUCGGGCAGUUAAACCAACUCUCAUACGAGCUCCCGGUGGUUCAUUCAUUUGGCCAUAGACUAGAGCUACCUUUGAUUCCUCAAUAUUUUUUUCAUUAAUUACUCCGGAUUCCCUCAUUUCCAUACAAAGAUCAUUUCCUUCGCGAGUCCGUUCCCCUACUCCACCAAAUAUGGAUACGCCCCCAUGAGCUUUAGCAAUGUUGUUGAUUAAUUCCAUGAUGAGUACUGUUUUACCUACUCCAGCCCCCCCAAAUAGUCCUAUUUUUCUUCCACGUCGAUAAGGAGCUAAAAGAUCGACGACCUUAAUACCUGUUUCAAAGAUGGAUAAUUUCGUAUCUAACUCGAUAAAGGCAGGCGCAGAUCUAUGAAUAGGGAACGUUGCACUACUAUCUACAGGACCCAUUGUCAACAGGCUCCCCAAGAACGUUGAAAAUUCGCCCGAGAGUAGCUCCGCCGACCGGAACACUGAGAGGAGCUCCUGUGUCAAUCACUUCCAUUCCUCUCAUCAACCCAUCUGUAGCACUCAUAGCUACAGCUCUAACUCGAUUAUUUCCUAAUAAUUGUUGUACCUCACAAGUCACAUUAAUUUGCUUAUCGGCAGUGUCUCUACUCUUGACUACCAAAGCGUUAUAAAUAUAAGGUAACUUACCGGGGGGGAAAGUGACGUCCAGCACGGGUCCAAUAAUUUGAUCGAUACGGCCUGUACUUUUUUCUUCAAUUGGGGAAACCCCGGGACGAGAAGUAGUAGGAUUGGUUCUCAUAAUUAUCACAUAAUAAAAAAAAAGGAAUUUGUCGAAAAAAAAAUUUCUUGUUGAAUAAUACCAAAUCCAAAAAAAUAUCCAAAAAUCCAAAAGUAAAAAGGAAAUCAAUUAGUUAAUUCAAUAAGAGAAAAAAGGGGAACAGGACUUGAUUUCGUUGCCCAAGCGAAUCCCUUUCAACCCUUUACUCAUGGAAUGAGGCCGUUGGAAAGUUCAAUCAAUCUUUUUUUCAUAAGAUAGAUUUUUCCUUUUGUGGAGGAUCUGUGCCUACUCUACUUUCCUAUCUAGGACUUCGCUAUACAAAAUAUAUACUACUGUGAAGCAUAGAUUGCUGUCAACAGAAAAUUUUCUUAGUAUUUAGUUAGGUAUUUCUUUUCAAAAUAAGAAAGGGGCCCUUUAAUAAUUUGUAAAAAAAAAAGGUUAAGGAUUGAUUUGGGUUGCGCUAUAUCUAUCAAAGAGUAUACAAUAAUGAUGGAUUUGUUAAAUCAAAUCCUUGGUUUAAUAACGAACGGUGUUAACUUACCAUAACAACAACUCAAUUCCUAUCGAAUUCCUAUAGGAUAGAACAUACACAGGGUGUACGCAUUAUAUAUGAAUGAAAAAUAUUAAUUAACUUAAGCAUGCCCUCAAUUUUCUGUAAUGAGUUGCUAUUAAUUGAAUAUCUCUUUUUUUUAUGAGAUUUUUGCUAAAGUUUCAUUUACGCCUAAUUCACAUCGAGUAGACCUUGUUAUUGUGAGAAUUCUUAAUUCAAGAGUUGUAAGGAGGGACUUAUGUCACCACAAACAGAAACUAAAGCAAGUGUUGGAUUUAAAGCUGGUGUUAAAGAUUAUAGAUUGACUUACUACACCCCGGAGUAUGAAACCAAGGAUACUGAUAUCUUGGCAGCAUUCUGAGUAUCUCCUCAACCUGGGGUUCCGCCCGAAGAAGCAGGGGCUGCAGUAGCUGCCGAAUCUUCUACCGGUACAUGGACAACUGUUUGGACUGAUGGACUUACUAGUCUUGAUCGUUACAAAGGACGAUGCUAUCACAUCGAGCCUGUUCCUGGGGAAGACAGUCAAUGGAUCUGUUAUGUAGCUUAUCCAUUAGAUCUAUUUGAAGAGGGUUCCGUUACUAACAUGUUUACUUCCAUUGUAGGUAACGUAUUUGGUUUCAAAGCCCUACGUGCUCUACGUCUGGAGGAUCUACGAAUUCCCCCGACUUAUUCAAAAACUUUCCAAGGCCCGCCUCAUGGUAUCCAAGUGGAAAGAGAUAAGUUGAACAAGUAUGGUCGUCCUUUAUUGGGAUGUACUAUUAAGCCAAAAUUGGGAUUAUCUGCAAAACAUUACGGUAGAGCGUGUUAUGAGUGUCUAUGUGGUGGACUUGAUUUUACCAAAGAUGAUGAAAACGUAAAAUCACAACCAUUUAUGCGCUGGAGAGAUCGUUUUGUCUUUUGUGCCGAAGCUAUUUAUAAAUCACAGGCGGAAACCGGUGAAAUCAAGGGGCAUUACUUGAAUGCAACUGCGGGUACAUGUGAAGAAAUGAUGAAGAGAGCUGUUUUUGCGAGAGAAUUAGGUGUUCCUAUUGUAAUGCAUGACUACUUAACUGGGGGAUUCACCGCAAAUACUACUUUGGCUCAUUAUUGCCGCGACAAUGGCUUACUUCUUCACAUUCACCGUGCAAUGCAUGCAGUUAUUGAUAGACAGAAAAAUCAUGGUAUGCAUUUCCGUGUAUUAGCUAAAGCAUUGCGUAUGUCUGGGGGAGAUCAUAUCCACGCCGGUACAGUAGUAGGUAAGUUAGAAGGGGAACGCGAAAUCACUUUAGGUUUUGUUGAUUUAUUGCGCGACGAUUUUAUUGAAAAAGAUCGUGCUCGCGGUAUCUUUUUCACUCGGGACUGGGUAUCCAUGCCAGGUGUUAUACCAGUAGCUUCAGGUGGUAUUCAUGUUUGGCAUAUGCCAGCUCUGACCGAAAUCUUUGGGGAUGAUUCUGUAUUACAAUUUGGUGGAGGAACUUUAGGACAUCCUUGGGGAAAUGCACUUGGUGCAGCAGCUAAUCGAGUGGCUUUAGAAGCCUGUGUACAAGCUCGUAACGAAGGGCGCGAUCUUGCUCGUGAAGGUAAUGAAAUUAUCCGAGCAGCUUGCAAAUGGAGUCCUGAACUAGCCGCAGCUUGUGAAGUAUGGAAGGCGAUCAAAUUCGAGUUCGCGCCGGUAGAUACUAUCGAUUAAUAGAUAAAACUAAAUAUGAAGAAGGUCUAAAUAAAAAGAGAAAAAAUAAGUUACGAAAUGCAGUGAUUCUUCUUUAUUCUUCUAAUUGACUGCAAUUAAACUCGGCUCAAUCUUUUUUUUUUCUAAAAAAAAAAUUCUAAAAAAAAGAUUGAACCGAAUAAAAAUGGAUCAUGAUACGAUCAUGAGACUUCACAAAUUGAGAUUCGCCUAUUCUACAUAUCUAGAAUAUAUAAAGGUAUAAUAAAUAAAUACAAAUCAAAUAUACUAUUAUCAUAUGAUAAUAGAAUCAAAUACGCAGUAUUUACAGGAAAAAAGUCUUCUAUAAAAAAUAUUUAUUUUGCAAACUAAAAAAUACAAUAGUCAAUAUUCCUCAUAAUAGAUAUACUUAAUUAUAUCAUAACAAUCUUAAGACAUUUUUCGAAUAGAUAGAAAUAGUUAAUUUGAAUUGAGACACCUAUUCUAUGACGGAUUUAAACUUACCUUUGAUUUUCGUGCCUUUAGUAGGUUUAGUAUUUCCGGCAAUUGCAAUGGCUUCUUUAUUUCUUUAUGUGCAGAAAAAUAAGAUUGUCUAGUAUUUUUUAGUGUAAGUAAGUGUAAGUAAUAGAAUAUGGUAGGGUAUGUGGCUCUUUCUACACACAAAUGAAAAACGGCUAUGGAUGCGGAUAUAGGCUACAAGCAUAAAUGCAUGAAUAUGCGGAGCCGGGUAUAGCUAUUUUUAUUUUAAUUGAAUCAACGAAUAUUUUUUGAAUAGAAAGUCAGUGUAUCUAACCUAUUAUUUCACAAGAGUACUAGUUGCUGAAGGCGAUUUCAGAAUCAAAAAAAGUAAAGUCAAAAUCAUUUAGCUUAUUCUCUCAAUUUCAAUCGACUGCUGCUGGAUUUAGUAUAUCUAAUAUGAAUUGGCGAUCAGAACACAUAUGGGUAGAACUUCUAAAAGGUUCUCGAAAAAGGGGUAAUUUUUUCUGGGCCUCUAUUCUUUUUCUAGGUUCACUAGGAUUCUUAUCAGUUGGGGUUUCCAGUUAUCUUGGUAAGAAUAUGAUAUCUAUACUUCCAUCUCAACAAAUUCUUUUUUUUCCGCAGGGGGUCGUGAUGUCUUUCUACGGAAUCGCGGGCUUAUUCAUUAGCUCCUACUUGUGGUGUGCUACUUUGUGGAAUGUAGGUAGUGGUUAUGACCGAUUCGAUAGAAAAGAGGGAAUCGUGUGCAUUUUUCGUUGGGGAUUCCCUGGAAUAAAACGUCGCGUCUUCCUUCGAUUCCUUAUGCGGGAUAUCCAAUCAAUUAGAAUUUAGGUUAAAGAGGGUUUUUAUCCUCGUCGUAUCCUUUAUAUGGAAAUCCGGGGCCAGGGGGUCAUUCCCUUGACUCGUACUGAUGAUAAGUUUUUUACUCCACGAGAAAUUGAACAAAAAGCUGCCGAAUUGGCCUAUUUCUUGCGCGUACCAAUUGAAGUAUUUUGAGUAUCCAUUGUAUUUUUUGGAACUGAAUAGAAUGAAGAAGAAUUGGAAGAAGAAAAGUUUUCUCAACAUGGGGAGGAAGUCCCUCCGAAAUUUGAUUUGUUAUUGUAUUGUAAGGGGCUUUUUUAGUAUUUAUCUAAAGGAAGGAACAAACGAGGAUAAGAUAAAAUUGCUGUAAAUUUAUUUUGCCCAAGUGGGAUAUAUGGCAUACUAUUCUUUCCAUUUUCAUCUUUUUUUCUAUUCCACUCCAUCUAGAUAUAAGAAAGAACCCAAUGCAAUGAAAUUCCACUAAUAUACAAUACAAAAAAGAAGAAUAGAUACAGGGUCUCAAACCUUGCUAGAGUUUUUGCUUCAAAGAAAAAAAAUAUCAUCAUAGAGUCAGCGAAUGAAGCGGAUUCAUUAACAACUCAAUUUAUAGAUCAAAAAUGAAAAAAAAGAAAGCAUUGCCUUCUUUACUAUAUCUUGUAUUUAUCGUACUUUUGCCCUGGGGGGCCUCUUUCUCAGUUAACAAAUGUCUGGAACUUUGGAUUAAGAAUUGGUGGAAUACCAGACAAUCUGAAACUCUCUUAACUGAUAUUCAAGAGAAAAGGAUUCUAGAAAGAUUCAUAGAAUUAGAAGAACUUUCUCUCUUGGACGAGAUGAUAAAAGAGAAACCAAAGACACAUGUACAAAAACCUCCUAUAGGAAUACACAAGGAAAUAAUACAAUUGGUCAAAAUAGAUAAUGAAGAUCAUCUCCAUAUCAUUUUGCAUUUCUCGACAAAUAUAAUCUGUUUGGCUAUUCUAAGUAGUUCUUUUUUUUUUGGUAAAGAGGAACUUGUCAUUUGGAAUUCUUGGGUUCAGGAAUUCUUCCAUAACUUAAAUGACUCAAUAAAAGCUUUUUUUAUCCUUUUGGUUACUGAUUUUUUGUUGGAUUUCACUCCACCCGGGGUUGGGAACUAGUAAUUCGUUGGGUCUACAACGAUCUUGGAUGGGCUCCUAACGAGCUAAUUUUUACUAUUUUUGUUUGUAGUUUUCCAGUAAUUCUAGAUACAUGUUUGAAAUUUUGGGUCUUUUUUUGUUUAAACCGUCUAUCCCCUUCGCUUGUAGUCAUUUAUCAUUCAAUUAGUGAAGCAUAAAUUCAUUUGAUCUCCUGAUAUUAAUCAAAUUAGCAUCUUUCUUUCUUUAGAAAAAGGCCCCUUUCCAUUUUAGCAAAAUUCUUUCUAUUUCUACCUGCUUAAAGGUAUUCAUCAUUCCGGUACAACUGUUGCAGUAGAAUGACAACAGACUCGUGUAUAGGGAACUAGAUUAGCUUAGCUACCUAUCUAAUUUAUUGUAGAAAUUCUGGGAUCUGCGAUUGGACAUGGAAAAUAGAAAUACUUUUUCUUGGGUAAAGGAACAGAUGACUCGAUCGAUUUCGGUAUCGAUCAUGAUAUACGUAAUAACUCAGACAUCUAUUUCAAAUGCAUAUCCCAUUUUUGCGCAGCAGGGUUAUGAAAACCCACGAGAAGCAACUGGACGAAUUGUAUGCGCCAAUUGCCAUUUAGCUAGCAAGCCCGUGGAUAUUGAAGUUCCCCAAGCUGUGCUUCCCGAUACUGUAUUUGAAGCAGUUCUCCGAAUUCCUUAUGAUAUGCAACUGAAACAAGUUCUUGCUAAUGGGAAAAAGGGAGGGUUAAAUGUGGGUGCUGUUCUUAUUUUGCCCGAGGGAUUCGAAUUAGCGCCGCCCGACCGUAUUUCCCCUGAGUUGAAAGAAAAGAUAGGAAAUCUCUCUUUUCAGAGUUAUCGUCCCGAUAAAAAAAAUAUUCUUGUGAUAGGCCCUGUUCUCGGUAAGAAAUAUAGUGAAAUUGUCUUUCCCAUUCUUCCCUCUGAUCCUGCUACGAAGAAAGAUGCUCAUUUCUUAAAAUAUCCCAUAUAUGUAGGGGGAAACCGAGGAAGAGGGCAGAUCUAUCCUGAUGGUAGCAAGAGUAACAAUACGGUCUAUAAUGCUACGUCAACAGGUAUAGUAAAAAAAAUACUACGUAAAGAAAAAGGGGGGUAUGAAAUAUCCAUAGUGGAUGCAUCGGAUGGACGCCAAUUGAUUGAUAUUAUACCUCCCGGGCCAGAACUUCUUGUUUCAGAGGGGGAAUCCAUCAAGCUUGAUCAACCAUUAACAAGUAAUCCCAAUGUGGGAGGAUUUGGUCAGGGGGAUGCAGAAAUAGUGCUUCAGGAUCCAUUACGCGUCCAAAGGGCUUUUGUUCUUCUUCGCAUCCGUUAUUUUGGCACAAGUUUUUUUGGUUCUCAAAAAGAAACAGUUUGAAAAGGUUCAAUUGUACGAAAUGAAUUUCUAGGUCCCGGGAUUUCUUACCAUCAACUUGGUAAAAAGCCGGGAUUUAUUGGCAAUUGUUAGAAUUAUCUAUGAUCUAUUUUGGAAAUCCUUUUUUUGUUUAGACUUUUUUUUGUUUGCGAGAUGUCUGGAAUUCCUUAUUUCUAUCUCAUGCAAAAGAAGAGAAUCCAAGGCAAAGGCGAGAACAAUAAAAGGAUUUCUUCCUUUUCAAAGGGAUUGCUGGUCUUGUUAAUCGUCUAUUUGGCACAAGAAAAAGAGAAAAAGGCCUUUUUCUUGUGCCAAUUCUUGUUUUCUUGUCUCGAAAUAAGAAUCCUUUUUCUUUCUAUUCGUCAAAGGUUACAAUUUCUUCUUUAUUCGGGUCUGUCUCUUGGCCCUCUUUUGCUUAGGUUCAGGGGAGGUAGUGCACAAACAGAGGGGAAGGGAAUAUGGCGGGGGACAAAUUUAUUGUGAUUGUGAGCAAAUAGAAUUGCUUGACUUGUUCGAUUAAGUUCAAUUUAGAACUUACAGAAAUUUUGCAAAAAAAAACGUAAACUUUUCCGUUGAAGGGUGGUUUUUUUUAGGCUAGUUGAGUAGUUUUGAUUAAGGUUUUAUUAGUUUAUUACUCUAAGCUAAAUCAAUGAUUUCCAGGAGACUCUCUUCGUGGAAUAAAAUAUUGUAUUGGAUCCUCGAUUGAUCUCUUUUUCUUAUUGCUUCAUAAGAGUGAAUCAAAUAGAUUAAAGUCGCGUUAUAAGAGUAAGAAUUAUGCGGGUCCUUUCCGCUCUAAUCAGAUAAAAAAAAGCGGGGGUAAGGACCCGCUAAGCUCCUACUUUUUCAUGUUUCCAAUCCGAUCCCUCCGAUUACUAUAGAGAUGAACCCAAUCCAGAAUAUGAACCAUAAAAGAAAGCACCUACUAAAUCAAUCACAGGAAUACCAGUUACCGUACCUAUCAGCCAAAGAGGAAUUCUUCCAGUAGUAUCGGCCAUUUCCCCUACUUUCCUCCACAUUUUAUCAAGUGGUCAUGCUAGAGACAAAAACAGUCAUGGAUAGUUAUGUUAUAAGGAUGGUAUCCUUCCAAAUGGGAUAAGAGAGUUCUUACUACUCUCUUCUUUUCUCUCAAUUGAAGAAGUAAUUGGAAAACAAAACAGCAAGUACAAAAAUGAGUAAUAAACCCCAGUAUAGACUGGUACGAUUCAAUUCAACAUUUUGUUCAUUCGGGUUUGAUUGUGUCAUAGUUCUAUAGUUGGAAUUUAGUUUAUCGUUAAAAUGAGUAAUAAACCCCAGUAUAGACUGGUACGAUUCAAUUCAACAUUUUGUUCAUUCGGGUUUGAUUGUGUCAUAGUUCUAUAGUUGGAAUUUAGUUUAUCGUUGGAUGAACUGCAUUGCUGAUAUUGAUCCCAAGAAAAAAAACAGUAGGUACAGCUAGUCCGUGAAUAGCCAGCCAUCGCACUAUAAAAAUAGGAUAGGUUCGAUCUAUGGUCAUUGAGGGCCUCCUAAAAAGAUCUACUAAAUUUAUCGAGUUGUUCUAAAGAAUCAAAACGGUCGGUUAUUAAAGGAAUUCCUUGUCGGCUUUCCGUGAAAUACUCGUUUGGCCGAGGACUUCCAAACACGUCAUAAGCUAAACUCGUACUGACAAAUAACCAACCCGCAAUGAAUAGGGAAGGUAUAGUAAUGCUAUGAAUAACCUAGUAUCGAAUACUGGUAAUAAUAUCAGCAAAAGAACGUUCUCCCGUGCUUCCAGACAUGCUGAGCUCCCCAAAUUUUUGUACAUUCAAAAAAUGAUGCGGAACUGGGUAGUGAUAUUGAUCCGGAAGAAGCUCAACAGGCACUUAAAAUAGCCGAAGAUAACUUGAGUAAAGCUGAGGGUACGAAAGAAUUGGUUGAAGCGAAACUAGCUCUCAGACGAGCUAGGAUACGAAUCGAGGCUGUCAAUUGGAUUCCCCCAUCCAAUUGAAGACAAUCCAAUGGUUUAUAGUUGAUACAAAGAUAAAGGGAAGAGGGGUAGAAAAAGUUAUUAGAUAGCGAAGCGAAAUAAGCCCAAUGCUAUCUAGUAAUUUUUCUACCUACCUACCUACUAUUGGAUUUGAACCAAUGACUCCCGCCGUAUGAAAGCAAUACUCUAACCACUGAGUUAAGUAGGCAAUUUAUGAUCACAAAGGAAGACCCAUUACUUCGAUCGAUUAUAUAUCGAAUCCCUUUUCUAAGCAAUAACGCUUCCUUAUUGGUAUGUUAUAUACUAAACAGAUACAUAUUUAAAGAGAUACCCUCUGGCAUUAGAGAAUAUUCAUCUUGACAAUAAAUUAUCUAUAUGUUAAGAUAUCUCUGAUAAGGGCUAUAGCUCAGUUCGGUAGAGCAACUCGUUUACACGUGCGCCAAUGCUUUUCAAAGGAGCUUAUUAUGCAAUGAAUAUAAUGGAUCUUAUUGCAAAAUCAAUGUCUUACUUCAUAGAUUCGACAGAAUAGGAGAACAGUAGCCUGACAAAUAGUCUUAGUGAAUCCUGAUUCGACAUUAAAAGUAUAUUGAUUCUUUCCCAAUAAACGAAGACUUUUUUCUGUAAAUACUGCGUAUUUGAUUCCAUCCAUAAAUCGACUUUCCCUCCUAUGCUCUGAGUUCCAGUAUCGAUAAGAAUUCGAGUUCUUAUUGUUCUUAUGUUAUGGUAUGAAUAUACCAUACCAAUUCGUUAUGUAUGGAUGAUGGAUGAGAUUCCAUGGAUAGAGAGCCAAUUCCAAUAGACUUAUGGAACGUUCCCGUUCGCGUGCAUCCAGCAGGAAUUGAACCCGCAAAUUUACCAAUUAUGAGUUGGGCGCUUUAACCAUUCAGCCAUGGAUGCUUAACAGGGAUCAUCCUACAUCGUAAAUAACCAAUUUUCAUAUAGAAAGACAUAUCAUAGAAAAAUGAAAUCGAAAAUAUUCGGAGAUGGCAAAUAUUCGGAGAUGACUAUGAAAACACCUCUCUGGAUCCUCGAAUUGAAAGAGAGAUUGAGAGGGAUCAAGAAUCCUAAUUCUCUCUAUUUGGAAUGGAUCCAAUUCUAUUGAGUCUGACUCAUAGUGAUCAUUUCUCUUUAGAAUGACCUUGGUUAUCAAAGGAUUGAACAACCGGGAUCCAUUUACUUAUGAUACCUAGUUGGCAUUGAUAACAAGGAUCUAAUGAAUUAUGAGUUUAAUAGAUCCUCUUUAGCAGAAAGACGUAUAUUCCUUGCUCAUUAUCAGACAAUCACUUAUUCCCAAACCUCGUGUGGGGCUAAUCGUUUUCAUUUACCAUCUCAUGGAAAACCCUUUUCGUUCCGCUUAGCCCUAUCGGGUAUUUUAGUGAUAGGUUCUAUAAGAACUGGACGAUCCUAUUUGGUCAAAUACCUAACGAAAAAUUACGAUUUUCCUUUCAUUAAGGUACGAGGGCUUCUUAUUCCACGAGAACGAAAGCACCUUUUCAUUCUUUCAUAUACUAGGGGUUUUUACUUAGAAAAGACAAUGUUCCAUACUAAAAGAUUCGGGUGCAUAACCACGAGUUCCAGUGCACUAGAUCUUGUAGCACUUAGCAAUGAGGCCCUAUCCAUUAGUAUUCCACAUAAGAAAUCCAUUAUAGAAAAAAAUACAAUUAGAUUAACUCUUCAUAGACAAACUUGUGGUUUGCGAGCCAAGGUAAGAUCGGCUCGGGAUCAUGGGACCUUUUUCUAUCGGAUAGGAGGGGCUCUUGUACAAAAUAGACUUAUAAGUAAUAACCCCAUAGAAUCAAUCUAUCUAUAUAAAGAGACGAUCAUGUCAGGAAGCGGGUUUUUCUUUGGCCAAAAGGUACUUCGAACUUGGAACGAGCAUGAAGAGAUUACGAGACUUCUUUCUCUUUUGCGUUUUUAUGGCGGACCUGCCGCGCAAGAUCUUUGGUCUUCCCCUGGAACCGAUGAAAAAAAGUGGAUCGCUUCUUAUGGACUCGCUCAGAAUGAUUCUUCUCUAUCUAUAGUUCAUGGCCUAUUAGAAGUAGAAGGUGCUCUGGUGCAAUCCUUACCGACAGAAAAAGAUUGCAGUCAGGUUGAUAAUAAUCGAGUGCCAUUACUUCGUCGGUCCGAACCAAGGAAUCUGUUAGAAAUGUUUUGAAAUGGAUAUUGUUCUCUCUUUGAUCAGGGAUUGCUAUAUGAAAAGAAGUGGAGUUUGAAAAAGGGAACGGAAUGGUCAAACCGGAACUGCUAGAGGAACGAAUUUUCAAUAGCAUAACUUGGGCUCCUAGAAUAUGGCGCCCUUGGGACAAUCCAUUUGAUUGCAGGGUUUUGUUCCGAAGCAAAGAUAUCCGCGGAGGCCAGUUCGUUCGUCCUAUUCUGAUAUUCAGGACCAAGAGGUACUGGAUUCUCUUUCGGAUAGGCCCUGAAAGGAGAAGAAAGGCUGAAAUGCCAACGGACCUCUGUCUAUUCUCUAAUUCACCCGAGCCGAUAGUACCCGUUUUUGGAACGUCCAGUGCCAAAGUCACUGAAUGGGUAAGUCACCAAUCCAACCCCUUUGACAAAUCGGGUGUCAUAUUAGAUAUCAUAUUCUAUAUAUAUAGAAAUAUCAUAGAAUAGACAUAUAGAAUUUUUGGUCUGGAAAUUAGAAAGAAUCAUUGAGUGAAAAAGGAGCAAAGAAUGACAAAAGACGAGACUCUACUAGUCUUCACUCUUGUGGUUUCCUCGGUUUCUGUUUUCUUAUUCGGGAUCUUGCUUUUCAUGAUUCUCAUCUCUGCAACUCGCGAUUUUAGCGAGAGAACCAAAUCCAAGUUGGUGAAGAUCAUGAUUUGGGCUGGCAUAGUAGUUAUUACCUUUGCAAUUGCGGUUCGAAUCUAUCCGAUCUUUAUCUUUUUGCUCAAAGAACGAAUAAAACCCCUUGUCGAAGCCCUUUAUGAUAAGCUUCCCUGGAUCUGGGAAGUUUCUCUUUCACGGUAUUGGGAUCGUUUGCUCGAUUUCCUUGAUUUGAUCGCUACUUAUGGGCGUGCGC
rnacentral:lncRNA from 1 species